rnacentral:rRNA from 1 species
UACGGGGGGGGCAAGCGUUGUUCGGAAUACUGGGCGUAAAGCGUGCGCAGGCGGUGACGUAAGACAGGUGUGAAAUCCCCGGGCUUAACCUGGGAACUGCAUUUGUGACUGCAUCGCUGGAGUGCGGCAGAGGGGGUGGAAUUCCAGCGUGUAGCAGUGAAAUGCGUAGAGAUGUGGAGGAACACCGAUGGCGAAGGCAGCCCCCUGGGCG